ensembl:lncRNA
CAACACGCUGUCCCUCCGCUCUAGGUCUGGCCCAGCAUGCUGUCCCUCCGCUCUAGGUCUGGCCCAACACGCUGUCCCUCCGCUCUAGGUCUGGCCCAACACAUCCCUCCGCUCUAGGUCUGGCCCAACACGCUGUCUCUCCCCUCUAGGUCUGGCCCAACACGCUGUCUCUCCCCUCUAGGUCUGGCCCAACAUGUCCCUCCGCUCUAGGUCUGGCCCAACACACUCUCCCUCCGCUCUAGGUCUGGCCCAACAUGUCCCUCUGCUCUAGGUCUGGCCCAACACACUGUCCCUCCACUCUAGGUCUGGCCCAACACACUGUCCCUCCGCUCUAGGUCUGGCCCAACACGUCCCUCCGCUCUAGGUCUGGCCCAACACACUCUCCCUCCGCUCUAGGUCUGGCCCAACAUGUCCCUCUGCUCUAGGUCUGGCCCAGCACGCUGUCCCUCCGCUCUAGGACUGGCCCAACACGCUGUCCCUCCGCUCUAGGACUGGCCCAACACACUGUCCCUCGGCUCUAGGUCUGGCCCAGCACGCUGUCCCUCCGCUCUAGGUCUGGCCCAACACACUGUCCCUCCACUCUAGGUCUGGCCCAACACGCUGUCCCUCCGCUCUAGGUCUGGCCCAACACACUGUCCCUCCGCUCUAGGUCUGGCCCAACACGUCCCUCCGCUCUAGGUCUGGCCCAACACGCUGUCUCUCCCCUCUAGGUCUGGCCCAACACACUGUCCCUCCGCUCUAGGUCUGGCCCAACACGCUGUCCCUCCGCUCUAGGUCUGGCCCAACACGUCCCUCCGCUCCAGGUCUGGCUCAACACGUCCCUCCCCUCUAGGUCUGGCCCAACACACAGAGACUAAGACAGGCGAGGUCUCCAUACGUCAGUGCUGACGUACUUCAAAACCCCACUGUGACACACAUGCUUUUUGGCACAAGGUGCUCUUAAACAACACCCCUCCCCUCUCUCCUCCAUAUGCUCUCACUCCCCAAGUGUCACAGAGAAAAGGUGAGACAGACAAUGAUCAUCACCUCAUUUGCAUCACUGCCAUCUCUCCAGGCAGAGCAGAACAUAGCAGAGCACCUACCUGUUUCUAAAAUAACUGGGAACAGUCACCUCCCUGCCUCAUACUGAGCACACACGCAAACGAUACAUCAUUAUGCAUCUGAUGCAGCAUUAAAUUGAAAAGAUCAGCCAGAAUAGGAAACAGAUAAAAUGGCACGAUUCAGGUGAAAAUGAAUUAUUUGUCUGAAAAUAAAAUAGGAAGCCCGGUAUGGUCCAUUUGCCUCUGAGGCAUUGAGCUGGGAUUCUUAGUAGAGUCCUUCCUUGGCUCUAGAAAAGCCCAGUAACAAUUCAAAACACAGAUCUAAAUAAAUCUGAAAACUGAUCAGUGGUCACUCAGAUUGAAAUCACCCUAAAUGUCUGAUUAGGGCUCUCUACACAGAUAUUGGUGGAGAUACGAGGAGGAUUGGCCAAAAUAGGCCAGGAUUUUGUGAAAUUGUAUAAAGGAUAAAUGAAAAUUGUGUAUGUAAAAACUCAUCAGUGUUAAUUGGGGAUGUUGAUAUCUGUAUGUCCUUGACAUCCCUUUGUCCCAUUUCUUGCUCUCUUCUGUUCUCUCUUUAGUCACACAUCUGUGGGGUGCACAAUCUUAUAUUUCAACCAUUUUUAUUUUAUUUUUUAAUCUGUACAGUGUAUAAAUAUAUAAAUGUGUACAUAAAAAGAAGAAACUUCUAAAAUAGUUUUUGUUGUUUUUCUAAAGCUGAUUUACUGUGGUAUUUCAUAGUGGCUUGUGGCUUUCUCUCCCUAUUUGAUUUCCAUCAGAG